GUCCUUUUGAAGUUGGCAGACAGCAGACAUCAGUAUCAUCCAUCAGAUUAUUCAUCAGUAUUAUUAUUUUCUUCUCUUCUGUUUUGGAGUAUAUGAAGGAUGAUACUCCUCUGGUAUGCCCUUGAAUUAAGAAGGGCCACGUGACUCGCUCUGGCCUGUAAGCUGUGAGCAGAAGUUCCUCGUGUGAUUUUACAUGGUAAGAGAUUCUCCGUGUUCUCUUCCUCUGCGGCAAUAAUAGGGAAAACAGCGUAUGGGUUGACAGGGAGGUGUUACAACAUUGACGCUCUCUGGAAUGCUGAACUCCUGAUGGAAGACAGUUGUCCUGUACGGUAAACUUUAAAAAUGCAAGAAAUUGACAUUUGCUGUGUCAAACCACCGAAAUGUCGUGCUUGUGAUGCCACAUAACAAAGCCUAUCCUGGCUAAUACAAAGUGCCACAUGGGCAAAGAAAUUUUGUAUUUGCUAAGAUUGCUCAAGUUAGGUCUAUGACCCCCGUUGAAUAGGCUGGCUAAAAAUACAUAAAACAGGGCCUUGCCCAGUGGCACAGCAGUUAAGUUCUCACGUUCCGCUUUGGUGGCCUGGGGUUCACUGGUUUGGAUCUUGGGUGCGGACCUACACACAGCUUAGCAAGCCUUGCUUUGGCAGGCGUCCCAUAUAUAAAGUAGAGGAAGAUGGGCACAGAUAUUAGCUCAGGGCCAUUCUUCCUCAGCAAAAAGAGGAGGAUUGGCAUGUUAGUUAGUGGAUGUUAGUUCAGGGCUAAUCUUCCUCAAAAGAAAAAAAAAUAGAUAAAACAUCCUGGUACGUGGCAAGUACUCAUUAAAUGUUAAACUUUAGACAUAUCAUUUGUAAUGCUUGAGACCAACAACAAACAGGAGAACAUAACAGGGGAAGAGAAAUCCUGCAGAAAUUCUUCCCGAGAACAAUUCUUAAACGUCUAUGCCACUCAGGGGAACCCUCUACAAAGUUAUAGCGCAUGUCUUCUCUCCUUCUCUGCUUUCUCCCCAGUGGGCUAUUCCUCCUCAGAGCACCUCUCUCAGAAAUUGUCUGGUUGCACAAAACCAGGAAGAAAUAUCCAGGUCCUGAAAGUCCUGAGAACACGUGGGCCCCAAGCAGAGAGAGGGAAGCUUUUCUUCUGGACUAAAAAUAAUAAAAUAAAAUAUUCCUGUGGUACCUGA
rnacentral:lncRNA from 1 species